AGGUAUUUUAACAUAUCAUGAAAGGCAGGCCUCCUGGUGACAAAUUCUCUCAACUUUUAUCUGAAAACAUCUUUAUUUCUUCAUUUCUGAAGGAUAAUUUUACUGGAUAUGGAAUUUCAAACUCUGUUGUUAGGUACAGAGCAGAAUUUUGAAGAUGCAUUAAUUCUUUCAAGUCAUGAAGGCAGUGUACAAGAGCAAGUUACAAAAUGGCGGCCUGAGACCAAAAGAACCAAUGAAUUAUCUUACAGAGACUUGCUUGUUUUGCUUCCUCUUUUCACAACAAGAAGACAGACAUCAUUAAUUUUUAAAAAAUUACUAUUUGACCUUUCGGAGAGCCAGCCAAGGAAUCAUGGAUGUAUGAUAUUUGACCUAGAUUUUGAAGACAGUUUCUACAAAGAGAAAAGUGAGCAAUGGCCACGCAGGUGAUGAAGACAGUCUUCGAGAAGAUGGGGAAACAUAGAAACAUAUGACCUGCUCAAAAGUACAAGAGAUUUUGCGUGACUAAAAAUGGUAUGGGAGGGGCAUCCCAGAGAAAGAAGAUGCAAAGUUGAGCUGACAGCAGACCUUCAAGCACCUCAAAUUCCAGGACAACCAGAAGUCUUUCCUUAAGCGAGAAGCAGAAAUGCAUUUUGGAUAUUUUGCAAGAGUUCAUGUAAGCUAUAUUAGUUACCAGAAUUAGCAAAUAAAAAUACAAGAUACCCAGUUAAAUUUGAAUUUCAGCUAAAGAUAUAUUUUUCUAGUGAAAGUGUGUUCCGUGCAAUAUUUAUGACAUAGUUAUGUUAAACUUAUUUGUUGUUCAUUUGAAAUUCAAAUAUUAUUGGGCAUCUUUGCAACCCUUAGCAUAAUCAGGGCCUUUCACUUGGAUUUCCUAAUACCAGGGGCUAACAGAAUCUUUAAGAGCCAGCUGUCAUUAUAUAUCAUGUUCAUCAGUCAUUUUGGGCCUUUCAACCUUUUCUCCAUAGACCUAAAGUUAAGAAAAAAGACAUAUUUGCAGGUUUGUGUGGAAAGCACUCGCUAGAACUGAAGCUCCCUGCAAUAACUUUUGAAGUAGCAGAAAUGGACUUAGGGCUCAUCUGCAGGCACAUUGCAUCUUUACCUAAUCUUCAGACACUGCUUAUGGCUUGGAUUGCUUAGGCCGUAGAUUGAUCAUUAAUCUUUAGGACGGUCCGGUGUGGUGGCUCAUACCUGUAGUCCCAGCUACUCUGGUGGCUGCCCAAGACCUUGGGAGCCCCCCACUGUUGCAUCAGCAUUCCUGGAUAUGAGACAUGGAGUCAAAGGAGAUUGUUUUGGAGCUUUAAGACUUAAUGACUGCCCUGCUGGGUUUCGGACUUGCAUGGAGCCUGUAGCCCCUUUGUUUUGGCCAGUUUCUCACAUUUGGAAUGGGAACAUUUCCCCAAUGCCUAUACCCCCAUUGUAUCUUGGAAGUAAUUAACUUGUUUUUUAUUUUACAGAAUCAUAGGCAGAAAGGACUUUCCUUGUCUCAGAUGAGACUUUGGACUUGGACUUUUCAGUUAACGCUGGAAUGAGUUAAGACUCUGGGGGACUGUUGAGAAGGCAUGACUGAUUUUGAAAUGUGAGAAGGGCAUGAGAUUUGUGAAGGGCAAGGAGUGGGAUGAUAUGAUUUGUCUCUGUGUCCCCAUCCAAAUCUCAUGUCAAAUUGUAAUCCCCACAUGUCAGGGGAGGGACCCGAAGGGAGGAGAUUAGAUCAUGGGAGUGGAUUUCCCCCAUGCUGUUCUCAUGAUAGUGAGUGAGUUCUCACGAGAUCUGAUGGUUUAAAAGUGUGUGGCAGUUCCCCCCUUGCUUGCUCUCUCUCUUCUGCUCCACCAUGGUAAUAUGUGCUUGCUUCUCCUUUGCCUUCCACCAUGAUUGUAAGUUUCCUGAGGCUUCCCAGCCAUGCUUCCUGUUAAACCUGUGGAACCGUGAAUCAAUUAAAACUUUUUUAUUCAU
ensembl:lncRNA novel transcript